rnacentral:tRNA from 1 species
GCCGGGGUGGCGGAACUGGCAGACGCAGCGGACUUAAAAUCCGCUGGGCGAUAAGCCCGUACCGGUUCGAUUCCGGUCCCCGGCA